rnacentral:lncRNA from 1 species
AUUAAGAAUAAAAAGAAAAAAGAAAUGAUGAAAAACAAAAAACAACAAGUGUUGAAACAACAAGAGUUGGUUCCACAUGAAAAUAUUUCAAACGAAGAAGAUAACUUUGCUGAAGAAUUACAAUGGUGUAUACAACAAAUUGAGCUUGGGUUAAAAACACGUAAACCAAGUCCAGAUCAAAUAAUCAAAAGUCAAAAAUUGAUGCAACAAUUAAUGUCUACAAAAACACCUAAGG